GGCAAAAGGGGGCAACGCCAGGACUCGCCAAAAGGGGGUGCUCUGGGACAGAAAUUAAACUGCGUGCAGGUGCAGUCCCGAUAGCUGAGCACCACCAAACACGAUGGCACCGGCAGCAUACCAGCCUGACCCACUCUCACGUGCCUGAGCAACAGUUACGUGAUGCAGCCCUCACAGAGAAAGGGAAGGGCCGCCCCACUGACCACCAUUGCUGGCUUUUAGCAAGACAAGGCAGGGAUCACAUUUUCCAGCUUUCCUCUGUAAUCACAAGGGCUAGAAACUUGGGGGCGAAAGUUAAAUGAAAGCUGUGAUUACACGAAAAUCUCAAGACUCCAG